rnacentral:lncRNA from 1 species
AGUGCAGAGUGACACAGACAGGCGACAGCGUCGCUGAGCACCAACUUCUAUUCCACGGAGGCAGACAGCGAAAACCAUUUCAUAACCAUGGCAAGGCAUGAGAGAAGCACAGGGUAGCUGCAAAGUUUUGGAAAAGACCUCUGCAACAACUGGAAGCACAGUGUACCCAAGUGGUGGGUCUCGUCUGUGGCAAUAUAAUUUUCUAUCUGUCCAAUUGAAUAUGGCUGUAAAGGGAAUAAAACCCCAUGUAAUCUCCAGCAGUGACAAUUUAAUCAGUUGUAUAAGGGGGAAAAAAGCAGAGUCCCCUCAUUUUCAUAUUUGCAUAUUUGAUUUUUGCAUUGGGGAAUAGAGGUUUUGUUUUUCUAUUACUUUGCAUUCAAUUUUAAUAUUUAAUCUUUUUAUGAGCAAAUUUUUAUAGUGGUAUGUAAUACUGAGUCAGACAGGUCUAAAAUAGAAAGGAAAGAUUCCAUUUCUGAAAUCAAGCCCCUGAUCCAAUAUGCUUUGUGUAACAUUUUUCCUUGUACAGAAUCUAUGUGCCUAACAUGGCUUGCAUGCUCCCAGCUUCUGCACGUGAUGCAUCUGCUAUUAACAUUCAGAGAUUCACCCUGAAAAUGAAGGCAACUGUUUGGAGAACAAUGUAAAAUGAUGAGAAUAGACCAUCCUAUGACCCCCUUUUUACAUUAAUAUUUCUUAAAAUGGUAAAUCUUAUUGAUUGCAUCUAUUUCCAAGGAAGUAGGGUUUCUUAAAUGCUUUAUAUACACAGGAGCCAGUUUUUAUGAGGUUAUAGAGGAGCAGUAAAUACAGUAAGAUUAAUAAAACUUCGUUGUUUUCACAAUUGACAGAAUGAUAUUAUUGCCUAUAGGGUAAUAACAGCUUAUGGGAUUGAUUUUAAGAUGAAUAAGAUGCAAGUAAUUCGAACUUAUCAUCAAUUACCCUUGGUUACUCCCAUGAGUAUGUAUCUAGCCAAAAUGGUGUUGGAUUUGAAUUACUGGGACAUAGAUAGCUGUUUCUUUAUGCAUCAAUGCAUUCUAGCCUCCACUUGCGAAAACUCCAAAAGUAUGUUGGGUAAUUUAAAAAAAUAAGGAUAGUACUCUACUUGCUUAAUGAUUUAGAAUUUCUUUAUAAAAAGUGAACUCUGAAGUCAAUAUUUCACUGGAGAGGGAAAGAAUAAUGAUUUUAAUUCUAUGUAAUUUUUUUAAAGCUUAAAAACAAGUUUUGAAAUGUUUUAUGUACUAAAUUUAAUCUAUGUACAUAUUUACACACACAUAUAUAUACAUGUGUAUAUGUGUGCCUGCAUAUAUGUGUGUGUAUGUGUGAUGUGUGUGUGUAUAUAAAUGUGGCCUAAAUGUUGCCAACCAAAUUUUAUGAGCAAUAACUACAUUUGGAAUUGUGAAAAUAUGAGCCAUAGGAUUUUAUUCAAAAACAGAGCAGUGAGUCUUUUUAAUGUACAUCUAUGAAAAGCAUACCAGUAGCAGUAUACAGGCAUCAUUAGAUGACAGGUAUAAAAUCCUUUGGGCAAGCACUGAUGCACAUUAAAUUCAAGUACAUAAUAUGUCAAGUUUUGAGUAUGUUCUUGUUUAUUUAAAUCUGCAUUCUGAUGAUGAUCUUUUCAAAGAGAUUGCAUAUAUAUGAAUAUGUGAUCUAGUGUUUACAUAUUCAAAUUAACCUGUUUCUUUGAAUAUGGUCUAAUGAUUGAAUGAUCUCCCAAACAUGGCAACUCCUCAGGGAAAUAUAUUGAUGCCUCAGCAUAUUUCCUCAAGGCCUGGAGAGUACUAGAUAUGACAAGGAGUGCCUUCAAGCAUGGAAGCCCUGCUCUACCUAAACGAAAGUCCUAGGCUUUAAUCACAAAGGCUAGGUUCACACUAAUGCAAUUAACCAUAUGAUUGCUUUCGAAGGAGCCUAACCUCAUCAGCAUCUUUCCUUUAGGCAAACUGACAAUGCUGGAUCUAGUCAAUGACUCAAGAGAAUUUGAUUAGCUAAGAGGUACAAGGCUCUGCAUAUGCAGUCACAAAUGCACAGUAGGAAUGUUCAUCUCCAACCUAUCAUUUCACAAUCAACUAUAAAUUUAAGCAAUUAAGGUAAAAUAAUUGUUCCAUGAAAUAAUUAAGAGUUGACAAUUAUCAGGAUGAAGGUGAAGACUACAUCCAAAUGAAAAUGAUCUGUUUUAUAGUUUGUUUGUUUGUUUGUUUAUUUAUUGGGUUGUGUGCUUGUUUUGUUUUGUUUGAGGGAGGAUGGGAGAGGGCCAUGAUAGUUAAAACUAAAAAUAAGAUUUACUUGGAGAACUGAUGAGGCACAGUGGCUCACUCCUGUAAUCCCUGCAUUUUGAGAGGCCAAGGCAGGUGGAUCACCUGAGGUAAGGAGUUUGAGACCAGCCUGGCCAACAUGAUGAGACCCUGUCUCUAUUAAAAAUACAAAAAAUUAGCCAGGCAUGGUGGUGGGUGCCUGUAAUCCUAGCUACUCUGGAGACUGAGGCAGGACAAUAACUUGAACCCGGGAGGCGAAGGUUGCAGUGAGCCGAGAUCACACCAAUGCACUCCAGCCUGGUCAACAAGAGUAAAACUCAGUCUCAUGAAUUAAAACAUAAUGAAUUAAACCAAAUACGCGAGUAGUCAUGCUCAAGCUUGGAAACCUUCUGCUGGAACUUGAAAUGGGAAGGGCAUGGUGCAGAGGGCAGAAAGAAGACAAAGAACGAAGAUAAAAGAAGCCUUUUUCCUCAAGAAGAUUGUAAUCUAGUGGUGGAGCUGGAAAAUAAAGGAAAGCAGUGGCCAUGUAUGUCAUGAGGACAUUCCAGUAACCCCAUGUGGUAAGGAACCAAGUCAGCCUGCCAACAACCACUGAAAAACUGAGCCCUCCUGCUGACAGCCAUGUGAGAGGAACACCUGGGAAGUGGAUCCUCCAGGCCUGGUCAUACUUCAGAUGACUG